UACGGCCACCUCACUUUGAAACACCAGUUCCUAUACGAUCACCGGAGUUAAGCAACGUCGAGCCUGGUCAAGAGCUAGAUGGGUGACUACUUGGGAAUACCAGGUACUGUUG